GACUUGAAGCCCGUAUGAUAAAAUAAAAUUGAUAGUCAAAGUAGUAGUACACUCGCUUCCAUAAAUAUGUAGGCCACCGCCCGCGGGUUGUACCGCUUCAAAUUGAAGUAGCUACUCCAAUUAAGAACUCACUACCUAGUUCUGAAAAAAAGGUCUCAGCGUUUAAGAGAUUUGAAAGUCGAUUGGGAUCUCCCAGUCCCAGCUGGCGUUUCGCAGCUAACGCUGUCAUCAGUUAAACGAACUUAUGGGAGAACCUGUAAAAAACCUACUAGUCACUGAAACCAGUAGAAGCUAGAAGUUCUGAUACUCCUAUAGAAGACAGUAUUGUCUCUACUGAAUAUGAGAACGAAAAAAAACGUCUGAGUGCCAUAUCUUUCGUUGAUUGUUGGGCCAUCUGUAGCCUGUCUAUCGAAUAUUGAUGCUUCUUCGACGACCCACAGUUACGAUUGAAGAUAGUCACAGUUCUGGAACUCUUUUGGGACAGCAGCGUCUCUAUAGAAUAUGACGAAAACGCCGCAAAUUUGAAGAAAAAGCGUGCCAUCGUUCAUUGUUGGACCGUCUUUAGCCAGUCUAUCGAACAGUGAAGCUUCUUCGACUAGAUUACCCACAGUUCUGAUGGAAGAAAGUCGAAGUUCUAAUACUCCUGUAGGAGACAGCAUCGUCUCUAUUGAAUAUGACCAGAAUGACCCAGGAUCGAAGAAAAAGCAUAUAGUACCGCCGUUGAUUGUUGGACCAUCUCUAGCUUGUCUUAUUUUUCUUUUCAGAAUUAUCAUCCUGUUGGAGUAAUAUUGUAGGAUAGAAUAGAAGUCACUGUAUGUUAUCACCGAACGCUAUCAAUCUCCAGUAAAAGAAGUGCUGAUAGGUAGUUACUUACAUUUAAUUUUAACAAGAUCCGGUGUGACGUGGGGUGGCGGGGCGAAGCCUCCGCCGCACCAAAGUCACGCCU